UACGGGGGGAGCAAGCGUUGUUCGGAUUUACUGGGCGUAAAGGGCGCGUAGGCGGCCACCGCAAGUCGACUGUGAAAUCUCCGGGACUUAACCCGGAAAGGUCAGCCGAUACUGCGGGGCUAGAGUGCAGAAGGGGCGACUGGAAUUCUCGGUGUAGCGGUGAAAUGCGUAGAUAUCGAGAGGAACACCUGCGGCGAAGGCGGGUUGCUGGGCUGACACUGACGUGAGGCGCGAAAGCUAGGGGAGCGAACGGG
rnacentral:rRNA from 1 species